rnacentral:lncRNA from 1 species
GGACAUUGCUGGAAUUCACAUAUACUCCACUGCCUCUACCUCGAUUCCACUUAGAAGGUGCAUUUGGACAGGUUGAGGGAGGAUCAUGCAAGCAGAUUCUUGGUUGCUUUAUUGUUAUCAGUUGGGAAGGGAAAAGGAACUAGAGGGCUCAGAAGACAAGUAAUGGGGUACUGAGGUGUUUGCUUAUUGAACAUAGAUAAUGAUAGUCAUCAACAUUUGGAGUCCUGUGUGAAACUGGCUGUUUUGUCUCAGGUCCAGUGCUCCUGGGUUAGUGUCCAAAGUACAGUUGGCAUAUUUGUUAUGAGUAACAGCAGAGGUCAGGAACUCACUGGGAUUUGAGAAUGUAUUAGCUUGUCAUCCCUCCAUAUCAGGGAGCACAUAUUCUAUCUCCAUAUUCCCUCCAUAUCCGGAGCACACGAACAGAGAGUAGACUUCAUCCUGCUCUCUCUUUCACAGGUGUGUAACCCCACUGACUUCAGUAUAAGUGAGAGGAGAGUCAGGUACUCACCACAGGAAACUUGCUCUGCUGCUGCACCUGCUCUCUGGCUCAACAAAGGGCAUCGGUCUCCAGAGCUGUCAGCCCAGCACUAACAUUCACCCUAAGGUGAUGCACCUUUGCAGCACUAGUGAGGAUGGGAUGCAUCAAGGGGAAGAGCACAUGGGCACACAGGCACUUGCUAUGGGAAGGCCUUUCCAAGGCACUGGUGGGAAAAGAUGGGAGCCUCAGCCAGGCACUGGCUCCUCUUCCUGUCCACACUUCAGAGUCUCCUUCCUGGUAAGGCCUCAUUUCACAAGCCAGUGAGAGGGGGUGUUCCAGGGGAGUAGCACUCUUUGAAAC